ACACUUGUUUGUGUUUUGGGGAGAGAAAGGAAGUGGAGAACGUUCUUGCAAGAUGAUCUGUAUUUUCUCUCUAAAGCAGAGUUCAUUUGCUGAGAAUGAUGGAGAAAAUCAGCAUCUAGCUAAUCAGCUGACCAUGAGAUGCAGAGAUUAUCUGGAAUUAUCCAGAUUGGUCCAUUUAAUUACAUGAGUCCUUAAAAGUGGAAAGUGGAAGAAGAGGCAGAAGAGUGUGUCAGAGAGAUGCUGUGUGAAAAGGACUCAACCUGCCACUUGAGGCUUUGAGGCUGGAGAAAGGGGCCAUGAACCAAGGAUUGUGAGCAGCCUGUAAAAUCUGGAAAAGACAAGGCAAUACCCUUUGCUGUCUCAGGGUCAAACAUGCAACUCCUGCCUGCUUGUAUGGCCAGCUGGGUUCAAGAAGGAAGGAACCUCAUUGUUGACAGUUACCAGAUGAAUGUGCCCCUUCUGUACAGCUAAGAAAUGGAAUAGACAUUGGUAACCUUCCACAGGCCCACACAUGUGUUAUCAGCCAUACCUUAGGACAGAAGGAAUGAGUUUGCAGAAAGGAUGCUCUUCAGAACUCAUGAAGACAUAAGGUGCUUCAAAAGAGGAGACUUUCGGAACAUGAGCAGGGAAAUUGUCACUUGAUAGAUGACAAGCAUUGUGAGAAACAACAGUUUGCCUUUCUUCAUUCCCUUCCUGGUUAUCUUUCCUGUCACAUGAAGAAGAAAUGAAACACCAGAGAGAAUCAGGUUAUCAUCAUCUACACCAGCCACUGUCACUGACAACUCCAGGAAGGAAAUUGGUAGACUCAACGUCCAGGGAACCUACGAAUCUGCUAUCCCAAGCCUUCUGCCCCCAAACACUUCACCCUGAAAUACAGCCCAGAGCAUGCACUCAGUGAGUCCCACUGAAGAAGAGACGGAAGGCAGAACUGAACAAGAUGUGUCCAGAAGAGGUAGCCAUAGAUCAUGGACAUGACCAAAAGAAGCUUACUUUAUUUUCAACCCUACAACCAUACUGAGAAUUUAGCCCUGGGGACAUCUUCCGAUAUAAUCUGGCAUAGAAGAGUGGUUAUCACACCUUUAGCAUGGGACCCUUGAGACACCUUUGCUGUGAAUAAUGGAGAAGCAAAAGGAGUUACUAAUGAAGACAAACUAAACCUGAGAACAGAGAGAGCCUAACUAUGUGCUCCAGAAGUGCCAUGUGUGUCUAAGAUGAAGUUUCGCUCUUCUUGCCCAGGCUGGAGUGCAAUGGCACAAUCUCAGCUCACUGCAACCUCUGCCUCCUGGGUUCAAGCGAUUCUCCUGCCUCAGCCCCCUGAGUAGCUGGGAUUACAGGUUCCUAUAAAGUUCCUGAUAGUUGAAGAAAGUCAGGAGAUCUUAGAAACUGACUUUCAUUUAUAACCUGCUGAUUCACCUAGAUCAGGUUACUGGGAAGAAAUCCAAGUCAGACCUCCUGACCUACUCGAAACAGCAUGAGGAAUUUUGGAAAUACAUCUGGUGCUUCCAGUGACUGUAUAAUAAUCAAUGUAUCCUGACUCUAAAGAAAAGCAGAAGUGAAACUGAAAGUACAGACUACAAGGUGGAAUAUGAUCCCUCUACUAUCAACUAAAAGUCUUAGACUUGCUACCCUUCUGAAAAUGGUUCUGAAGGGGCCCAGGAAGAAACCUCCUCUUCCCCAGCUGAGUUGAGAACCAAGUGGAAGACAAAGAAGUUAGACAGCAGAUGAAAAAGUGACC
ensembl:lncRNA novel transcript